rnacentral:rRNA from 1 species
UAGCAGCACCCCGAGUGGUAGUCGUUAUUAUUGGGCUUAAAGUGUUCGUAGCCUGUCGUGUAAGUCCGCUGUGAAACCCACGCGCUCAACGUGUGGAUGUGCAGCGGAUACUGCAUGACUAGGGACCGGACGGCGUCGAGGCUAUUCCAGGAGUAGGAGUGAAAUCCAAAAAUUCCUGGAGGAGCACCUGUGGCGAAAGCGCUCGACGAGUACGGAUCCGACGGUGAGGAACGAAAGCCGGGGGAGCAAA